ensembl:snRNA U6 U6 spliceosomal RNA
GUGCUCGCUUUGGCAGCACAAAUACUAACAUUGGAGUGACCCAGAGAAGAUAAGCAUGGCCCCUGCACAAGGAUGACUUGUAAAUUCAUGAAGCAUUCCAUAUUUGA